rnacentral:misc_RNA from 1 species
GAAAUGCGAUAAUUAAUGUGAAUUGCAGAAUUCAGUGAAUCAUCGAGUCUUUGAACGCACAUUGCGCCCCCUGGUAUUCCGGGGGGCAUGCCUGUCCGAGCGUCAUUGCUGCCCUCAAGCACGGCUUGUGUGUUGGGCUUCCGUCCCUGGCAACGGGGACGGGCCCAAAAGGCAGUGGCGGCACCAUGUCUGGUCCUCGAGCGUAUGGGGCUUUGUCACCCGCUCCCGUAGGUCCAGCUGUCAGCUAGCCUCGCAACCAAUCUUUUUAACCAGGUUGACCUCGGAUCAGGUAGGGAUACCCGCUGAACUUAAGC